GGCAUGAUGGUGUAGUGGUUUAAAGCAUUGCACUACAACUCUGGAGAUCAGGCUUCGAAUUCCUGCUUGGCCA